rnacentral:lncRNA from 1 species
AGAGGCUUGGGGCUGGCAUGGAUUUGCUCACAGCCAGCAGCAUAGUUACUGGAGUGAGAAUAUUGCUGAUUGGCUGAUUUUCAGAACAAAAAUCGUGGUGCCUUCUUGCUGUGUUCGCAUGUGCAGGGACCACUCUCUCUCUCAUGAUUCUUUGUCUAAGGCCACCAAUCCCAUCAUGAAGGCUCCACCCUCGUGACCUAAUUGCUUCCCAGACGCCCUGCUUCCAAAUACCACCUCACUGGGGAUUGGCGCGUCAAUGGACUUGGGGGACGCUCAGUCCACAGCAGCUUUCAUACCUUGUUUCACAAACGUGUAUCAGACAAGAAGUUCCAGACUGUCUUUCAUCCUCGUCUCCCCACCCUCCCUUUUUGCAAACCACACUCAUCCUUCAAAUCCCAAUUCAAAUGCCACCUAGUGACCUCGUCCCUGAAGCUGAAUUUUCGCAGCGUGCUAUCUGCUCUGCUCAUACCAUUGGAUGCCUGCUUGCAUUGUUUUUUUUUUCUAUAAAUGCUUUGUGUUUCCAUCUAGGCAGUGAACUUAGUCUUCCUACACAUUUGUAUCGCUCCAGAGUUCCCCGUAUUUGCUGAAAGAACAAAUCGGCUGGGAAAAUCUGAGUCCUAGCUCAAAGGCUGUUUCAUUUUGGUAAACUGCAAACUGAAGCAUCCUUGGGCUCUGUGGAUGAAUUGAAAGUGGUUGCUAAAAUGUAAAUUCCAGGAAGACAGGUGAUCUUUGGUUUAUGCUUCACUGAUGCCUAGAAUAUGCCUGGUGUACAGGAGGCCCUCGCUUUAUUUUAGGUCAAUGAACAAAAGAUGGAAUGAAUAAGUAAAUUAUGGUUGGAGAAAAGAUUGGAGCCUGGCAGUGACUUCUCUUAUGUUUAUCUCACAUGAGGUAAGGCAUUAAAUGAUUACCAGGGUCUCGCCGCUUUUAAGACUGGCUGGACAAUUGCCUGGUUAUAUCUAUGGAAACCUGUGUAUUUCACAUUUUCCCAAACAGUUAGGAGUGGAGGGGCUGCUCUUGCUGUCUGAGACAGACCACAUUCUGCCUAUGGAAUGUGUAUCUCUCUAAAUAAACUAGCUUUCACUGAAAAAUUAAAAAAGAAGAAUUCCCAGAGUUCCCGUCGUGGCUCAGUGGUUAACGAAUCCGACUAGGAACUAUGAGGAUGUGGGUUUGAUCCCUGGCCUCACUCUGUGGGUUAAGGAUCCAGCAUUGCCAUGAGCUGCGGUGUAGGUCACAGAUGCAGCUCAGAUCUGGGGUUGCUGUGGCUGUGGUGUGGGCUGGCAGCUGUAGCUCUGAUUCAACCCCAAGCCUGGGAACUUCCCUAUGCUGCAGGUUUGGCCCUAAAAAGAAAAAAAAAAAAAA